rnacentral:tRNA from 1 species
GUUUCCGUAGCGUCAGAAUAAGAUUCCUAAUCUGAGGGCCGUGGGUUCGAAUCCCGCCGGAUGCA